UCUCCUAGAACUUGAAGGCCACCAUUCCUCUGGGAACCCAACCUAACAUUAUUUCAAGAAGAGCGCUAUGGGUUUCACCCAAGACUACCAAAGAGAUUUGUGACACAAAUAAGAUUAAGGACUCCUGCUCUAAGCCUAGAAAUACUUCUGCCUCAGAGGUCUGGGAAGCUCGAGAUGGGAGUGAAGGAAGAAGGAACAUCUGGGAACAACCUUGUAUAAUGUUUCCC
rnacentral:lncRNA from 1 species